rnacentral:rRNA from 1 species
UAGACAGCCAGGAGGUUGGCUCAGAAGCAGCCACCCUUGAAAGAGUGCGUAACAGCUCACUGGUCUAGUGGUUCCGCGCCGACAAUGUAGCGGGGCUCAAGCACACCACCGAAGACGCGGCAGUAUUUUGUACUGGGUAGGAGAGCGUCCCAUGAGGGGCGAAGCGGCCGUGUGAACGCGCCGUGGACUUCAUGGGAGUGAGAAUGCAGACAUGAGUAGCGAGAGACGGGUGAAGAUCCCGUCCGCUGGAUGACCAAGGGUUCCAGGGCCACGUUCAUCGUCCCUGGGUGAGUCGGGUCCUAAGGCGAGGCCGACAGGCGUAGUCGAAUGGAUGAACGGGUCGAUAUUCCCGUACCGGCUUUCAGCCGCCAAAACCGAGGCUUGGAGUACUAACCUCCGGGUCCGGGCUUACUGCUCCUUCGGGGGCGGGAUGCCCUGGCCUGUUGGGACCGAUCCUUGUAGUAGGUCAGCGCAGGAGUGACGCAGAAGGGUAGCCGGCCGCGGAGGUGGUCUUCCGUGGUCAAGCACGCAGGGCGUGGGACAGGCAAAUCCGUCCCGCAUGGGUCCGAGGUGCGAUGAUGGGGGCCUUAUGGCCCGAUAUCCGGUGAUCCCGGCUGCCGAGAAAAGCUUCGGCGUCAGGCUCAAAGCCGCCCGUACCCCAAACCGACACUGGUGGUCAGGUAGAGAAUACCAAAGCGAUCGAGCGAAUCCUGGUCAAGGAACUCGGCAAAUCACUCCCGUUCCUUCGGUUUAAGGGAGACCCCCGAUGGUGAACACACUUGCUGUGGGAGCUUUUGGGGGUGGCACAGACCAGGGGGUAGCGACUGUUUACCAAAAACACAGGUGCAUGCGAAGGCGCAAGCCGCUGUAUAUGCACUGACGCCUGCCCGGUGCCGGAAGGUUAAGAGGAUCCGUCAGCCUUCGGGUGAAGCGGUGAAUUCAAGCCCCGGUAAACGGCGGUGGUAACUAUAACCAUCCUAAGGUAGCGAAAUUCCUUGUCGGGUAAGUUCCGACCUGCACGAAUGGCGUAACGACUUCCCCACUGUCUCGACCAGGAGCUCGGCGAAAUUGCAGUACGAGUAAAGAUGCUCGUUAAGCGCAGAAGGACGAAAAGACCCCGGGACCUUUACUAUACCUUGGUAUUGGCAUUCGGUGUGGAUUGUGUAGCAUAGGCGGGAGGCCGAGAGGCGCGGUCGCCAGAUCGCGCGGAGCCGUAAGGUGAAAUACCGCUCUGUUCGCAUUGGAUGUCUAACCUCGAACAGUCAUCCUGUUCAGGGACAGUGCCUGGCGGGUAGUUUAACUGGGGCGGUUGCCUCCCAAAGAGUAACGGAGGCGCCCAAAGGUCCGCUCAGCCCGGUUGGCAAUCGGGUGGCGAGUGCAAGUGCACAAGCGGGCUUGACUGCGAGGACGACGGUCCGAGCAGGGACGAAAGUCGGGACUAGUGAUCCGGUGCCGGUGUACGGACGCGGCAUCGCUCAACGGAUAAAAGGUACCCCGGGGAUAACAGGCUGAUCAUUCCCAAGAGUCCAUAUCGACGGGAUGGUUUGGCACCUCGAUGUCGGCUCGUCGCAUCCUG